CUCUUGGGUGACGAGUGGCGGACGGGUGAGUAAUGUCUGGGAAACUGCCUGAUGGAGGGGGAUAACUACUGGAAACGGUAGCUAAUACCGCAUAACGUCUUCGGACCAAAGUGGGGGACCUUCGGGCCUCACACCAUCGGAUGUGCCCAGAUGGGAUUAGCUAGUAGGUGGGGUAAUGGCUCACCUAGGCGACGAUCCCUAGCUGGUCUGAGAGGAUGACCAGCCACACUGGAACUGAGACACGGUCCAGACUCCUACGGGAGGCAGCAGUGGGGAAUAUUGCACAAUGGGCGCAAGCCUGAUGCAGCCAUGCCGCGUGUAUGAAGAAGGCCUUCGGGUUGUAAAGUACUUUCAGCGGGGAGGAAGGCGAUAAGGUUAAUAACCUUGUCGAUUGACGUUACCCGCAGAAGAAGCACCGGCUAACUCCGUGCCAGCAGCCGCGGUAAUACGGAGGGUGCAAGCGUUAAUCGGAAUUACUGGGCGUAAAGCGCACGCAGGCGGUCUGUCAAGUCAGAUGUGAAAUCCCCGGGCUUAACCUGGGAACUGCAUUUGAAACUGGCAGGCUAGAGUCUUGUAGAGGGGGGUAGAAUUCCAGGUGUAGCGGUGAA
rnacentral:rRNA from 1 species